CGAAAACCACCUCCCUACACAUUUCUAGAGAUACACCCCCCAAGCCUCAUUGAAACCCAACUGGAAGAUUGGAAGAUUCUUGAUUUUUUUUUUCUGGUUUUUUUUUCUUGAGACAGAGUCUCGCUCUGUCACCUAGGCUGGAGUGCAGUGGCACGAUCUCAGCUCACUGCAAGCUCCGCCUCCCGGGUUCAUGCCAUUCUCCUGCCUCAGCCUCAGUCUGUAGCUGGGACUACAGACGCCUGCCACCACGUCCGGCAAUUUUUUUUUUUUUUUUGGUAUUUUUAAUAGAGAUGGGGUUUCACCGUGUUAGCCAGGAUGGUCUUGAUCUCCUGACCUCGUGAUCCGCCCACCUCGGCCUCCCAAAGUGCUGGGAUUACAACCACCGUGCCCAGCUUUUUUUUUUCUUUUCUUUUUCUUUUUCUUUUUUUUUUUUUUUUUUUUAGCAUCUCUUCGAAUUCACUUUCUGAAUGCUUUGUUUCAUUGUUUGCAAAGAGUCAACAGGAAGAAUGCAUUUUCCCCCUCAGUAACAGAAGAGAAAACGCAGGCUCUAUUUGCUCCGACUUCCCCUUUUCCAAAGUGAAAGGAAGAGUUUUUCAACUGAAGAACCUCUUCAUUGAGAUCUCAAAAGAAGCUUGCUAAUAACACUAAUUUAUCGAUCAAGUUUCCAGAUGAAAUUAGCACCUACUUCUUCAAGAAGACAGACAAGAAGUGUGAAGAGGGAACGUGGCAAUCAUAAUCAGCACUAGUGAAAAUAUUCUGCCCCAUGAAUAGCAACAGUUCAAUCAGCUGCGUGGUAGAGCUUGAGCUGGCAUUUAUGAAAAUGUUUGCUUGCUCUCAGCCAUUUUCUCUAAGUUGAGGCCUGUGCUCAUUUACAAAGAAGACCUAUUGGAAUAAUCCCUUGGCUGUCUAAGUCGAGACACAGGAAUCAGGAAUCACACUGGAGCUUCACAUUCCUGUGAUUUUCUGAUGACGCCUUCCUGGACCAGCAGCAAACCCAGAGGACAGCAUACGACUAGGGGGUAGCACGCUAUUUCCCAUCUCUAUGCUUUAUGGGAGAGGAUGAGUGACUUACAGUCACUGUAAGUAAACUUGCGCUGGUAAUUGAAUUAGAGCUGAGAGAGGGUUUUCAGACAGGGCCACUAGUUUGUUUGCAAAAUGAGUUGAUUCGAUCUUGGCUUAGCAGCUGCAAGUCAAACAACCUAUUGAGCAAACCCAAGGUAAAUUUCAGCACCCUUUAGUAUCAAUGGCAUUCGAGAAUGAACACAUUCAGACGCUUUGAUUUUUAAGAUGUCAUUUAUUUAAAGCAAAAUCAGUUUAUAUUCUCAAGGGGUGGAUUUCAAAGAUAUAAAAAGAAAAGUCAUUUUCGGAACAAACAAUUUUGUUCAAUUUCUAUAUAAAACCUAAAUUACACUUUUUUUUUUUUUGGAGAGUAGACUCUGUGAUAUGGGAAAUGGCUUCACUGAAAUUCAGAUUUCUACAUGCAAAAGCUGACUCAUUUUGUUAUGGGAUUAGCUAAAAUGUUUAAAGAGCCCCGAUGAAACAGAUGAACUAAUUUGUGAAAAGGCAAAAAGUGUAAUCACGGUUCAGACUACAUGAAUAGUCAGUGCACGAACCAAAGCGAUGAGGCCUUUGUAACCUCACAGAGAUUCAGUCACCUGAUCAUUCCUCUUUCAAAGCAGUUUCAAAAGUACAGUGUGUUAUUCUGGUGACUGGCAUAGGUCUUGCUUAUGUACAAAAAUCAGAAAAAGUGGCUCCUGUGCUUACUAAUUUCCAAGGUUGUUGCAUGUCGGUGAAAAGUUGGUGGGGAUUAGGACAAAGCACUGUGGAAACAAAUUUUAGAGUUGUGGCAUUUUCAGGCAACAAAUAAGUGCAAGUCCACAUCAUAAAAAAUUCUAAUUUACCCUUUUUGGGGGUCAAUUUGUAUUUUUUUUUUUUGAGACAGAGUCUCGUUCUGUCACCCAGGUUGGAGUACAGUGGUGCGAUCCCAGCUCACUGCAGCCUCCACCUCUUGGGUUCAAGCGUUUCUCCUGCCUCACUCAGCCUCCCGAGUAGCUGGGAUUACAGGCAUGUGCCACCAUGCCUGGCUAAUUUUUGUAUUUUUAGUGGAGGCGCGGUUUCACCAUGUUGGCCGGGCUGGUCUCAAAUUUUUGACCUCAGGUGAUUCACCCACCUCGGCCUCCCAAAGUGCUGGGAUUACAGGCGUGAGCCACUGCGCCUGGCCAAAUUUGUAUUUUUUUAUAUAAAGUAAGGUUUACAAAUAUGACCUAAAUGAAAACCAGAUAAAAUUGACAAUGGCAAAUAAUUACCAAUUUUAAAUGUGGCAAGAAUGACAGAGACGGCACUAAAGGAGCUCAAUAAAGCCUUGGGUUCUGGACUCAGAUCUGUCUUUUAAUCAUUGUGGCACAUUGGGCAAGUCACUAAACCUCAGUGAGGCACAGUUUUUCAUUAUUGCAAGGAUGGAAUGGAAGCCACAAAGCAUUUUUCUGAUUUUCCCUACACUUGAGAGUUGUGUAGGAAACAAAGUGGAUGAAAUGUAUGCAAAGAAAUCAAAGUAGGUAAAACUGACAUGAAUUUGCACAUUUGAAAGGCUCAUCACUCCUUCAUAAGAUAGACAGUUAUUCUCAGCUUCUGAACUGAAACUUCACGAGUGGGAUUAUCAGAGUAAAAGGACUUUUUAGUUCUUCGGUAUUGAAACCCCUUUAAACAGGAUGUAAGUUCUCCCUACGUCAUCAACAACGAAUAGCACACGUGCUGUACAGUGAAAGUUAGAAUGAUACGCUUCUUAAUUGCAGAAGUAUUCCCGUCAAAAGACAAUAAAGCAUAUUUUGGAAGAAGUGGGACUCUAGUAAAAACACAC
rnacentral:lncRNA from 1 species